rnacentral:lncRNA from 1 species
CUAGGCCAAGGAGCAGUGAGGACGCUUCCUCUGUCCUGACCGCGCCUCGUCCAGGCUGCUCCCAGAAUAGUUUUGCUGUCUCCUUCCUGCCUGGCAAGAAUGUCUUUACUAUCAUCUCCUUCCUUUUCUCCGGGACAGCCUGUUUAAGGUUUUACUGCUGCAUAUCCAACACAAUCCUCCAUUCCUUUUAAAUCUCAAGCUUCAGUAAUCCCAGAAUCAGAAAAAAAAGGAUUCAAUAGUCAAGCCAAGAGAUUUCCUCAUAAGAAGGUAAUGACGUUGUCUCAGGGGUUCUUUCGUUUUAGUCUGGAUUUUAGCCUUGCGGGACAGGCACGUUCUGUCUGGCUGCUGUGUCUUUCUGUGGACAGUGGAGGGCAGUGUGCUCCCAGGAGCCGCGGCACCAGCUCCACUGAGGGGCACCGACUGGACUAACUGUAAGAACGAGCCUGAAAAAUGGGACAUCCAGGGAAAAACAACUGUGUCUGGAUUUAUGGCGCCAAAAAUAUUGAACUGGACCAAAACUAUUUUAAGAAAACAAUAUAUUUUAAAAAUCAUCAUAAAGCUAAAAAAUUGCAAAAAUUCCCAAGUGUUAUCAAUUAAGUAAAAGAUUAAAAAAAAAUCUUCCCCA